AAUCAACGCUGGCGGCGUGCCUAACACAUGCAAGUCGAACGCGAAAAGGGGGCAACCCUGAGUAGAGUGGCGUCCGGGUGAGUAACACGUGGAUAAUCUGCCUGCGGGGCGGGGGAAUAACUUUCCGAAAGGGGAGGCUAAUACCGCAUAACACCGUAAUGGGGCGAUCCUGAGACGGUCAAAGAGGGGGAGUCGCAAGACCUCUCGCCUGCAGAGGAGUCCGCGGCCGAUUAGCUAGUUGGCGAGGUAACGGCUCACCAAGGCGGCGAUCGGUAGCCGGCCUGAGAGGGGCGGGUCGGCCACACUGACACUGACAUACGGGUCAGACUCCUACGGGAGGCAGCAGUCGGG
rnacentral:rRNA from 1 species